rnacentral:rRNA from 1 species
CCUACGGGUGGCAGCAGUGAGGAAUAUUGGUCAAUGGCCGGAAGGCUGAACCAGCCAUGCCGCGUGAAGGUCAGUGCCCUAUGGGCGUUAAACUUCUUUUGUGCGGGAGCAAUAAUGGUCACGUGUGGCCAGACGAGAGUACCGUACGAAUAAGCAUCGGCUAACUUCGUGCCAGCAGCCGCGGUAAUACGGGGGGUGCAAGCGUUAUCCGGAGUUAUUGGGUUUAAAUGGUGCGUAGGCUGUGAGGUAAGUCAGCGGUGAAAUGCCUCCGCUCAACGGGGUGAAGUGCCAUUGAUACUGCCUUGCGGGAAUGCGGAUGCCGUAGGAGGAAUGUGUGGUGUAGCGGUGAAAGGCAUAGAUAUCACGCAGAACACCGAUUGCGAAGGCAUCUCACGAAUCCGCGAUUGACGCUGAUGCACGAAAGCGUGGGUAUCAAACAGGAUUAGAUACCCUGGUAGUC